GAUGAACGCUGGCGGCGUGCCUAACACAUGCAAGUCGAGCGGCAGCGCGGGGUGCUUGCACCCUGUCGGCGAGCGGCGGACGGCUGAGUAACGCGUGGGAACGUGCCCCAAAGUGAGGAAUAACUGCCCGAAAGGGUAGCUAAUACCGCAUAUUAUCUUCGGAUCAAAGGAUUUAUCCGCUUUGGGAGCGGCUCGCGUCGGAUUAGGUAGUUGGUGAGGUAAUGGCUCACCAAGCCGACGAUCCGUAGCUGGGCAGAGAGGAUGACCAGCCAGACUGGCACUGAGACACGGUCCAGAAUCCUACGGGAGGCAGCAGUGAGGAAUCUUACACAAUGGGCGAAAGCAUGAUGGAGCAACGAUGCGUGAAGGACGAAGGCCUUCGGGUUGUAAACUGCUUUUAUAAGUGAGGAAUAUGACGGUAACUAAUGAAUAAGGAUCGGCUAACUACGUG
rnacentral:rRNA from 1 species